UAUUUGGAAUCUGGGGUGGGCCCUGAGAAUUUUCACUUUAACAAGUUCCUAGAUGAUCUUGCUGCUGCUGCUCCAGGGAGCAUGCACAGAGCACCAUUUACUACCCCAAAGGGCUCCCUCAGCAUUUGCCAAACAUUCCCUCUGGUCUGAGCUAAUGUUCCUGUUGCAUAGAUCCAGUUUCCUACCUAGCUAUUAGUCCCUUGAGUCCAAGAGAUAUUUCUUCUUACUCUUUGUACCUUCCCAUAGCGAUUAGAAAAGCAUGCCAGUCAAUAGUAAGUGUAGAGGAAGUUUGUUUAACUUGACUGGUUGAUUAGUGGGUUGAUUUACUGCCAGCUCAGUGGCUGUUUCUCUCCCAUUACUUCCACCUCCCAUGAGGACUGCACCUGCGGCAGCGAUUUUAUGUGAACUUGGAUUACUGUAUGGAAAUGGAGAAUUAUAAUGUAGCACCUUCAACAGAAAGACAAUCAAAGGUAUACAUCCUGACAGGUUCAGACCCCUGAAGGAUCUGUUAGACAAUGUCCAACACUCCAGUGAAAGAAAAUACAGAGUGAGAAAGUGUGGGAAUCAUAAAAGAAGGCAGAACCAAAAGACAGAGGGAUCUUGGGCCAUGAGUCACAGCAAGGAAAGCCUCCCACCAAACAUCUGCACUGGACUCCUACAGGAACAAGAAAUGAACUAUCGUGUUCAGCCCCUGAGACUUGGGCUUAACAUGAUUUUCACAUUGUCUACCCUACCUAAUAGAGCAGAGAUGUAAAUAUUAUUCUUAUUUUAGAGGUGUGAUGCCUCAGCUGCAAUGGGUGAGAACUACUCCUCAUUUAUUCUCUUCCAAGGCAAUAAAAGAGAAUGGACCAAAGACAGUCUGUCAUCACAUCUAGUCAAAAGAGCUAAUGUCGCAGUACAACUCUUCAAAAGAAAAAGAAAAAACAAGAAAAAAGUAAUAAACAGAUGUGUUCUGCUUGA
rnacentral:lncRNA from 1 species